GACAGAGGUGCCGAGCGUUAGGCGGAAUCACUGGGCUUAAAGCGUGUGUAGGCGGACCGUUAAGUACCUUGUGAAAUCCCACGGCUCAACCGUGGAACGGCUGGGUAUACUGGCGGUCUUGGGCCACUCAGGGGCGAGCGGAACAAGUGGUGGAGCGGUGAAAUGCGUAGAUAUCAUUUGGAACGCCAACGGUGAAAACAGACAGCUGGGGGUGUCCUGACGCUGAGACGCGAAAGCCAGGGGAGCGAACGGG
rnacentral:rRNA from 1 species